rnacentral:rRNA from 1 species
ACGGCGGGUGCUAACGUCCGUCGUGAAGAGGGAAACAACCCAGACCGCCAGCUAAGGUCCCAAAGUCAUGGUUAAGUGGGAAACGAUGUGGGAAGGCCCAGACAGCCAGGAUGUUGGCUUAGAAGCAGCCAUCAUUUAAAGAAAGCGUAAUAGCUCACUGGUCGAGUCGGCCUGCGCGGAAGAUGUAACGGGGCUAAACCAUGCACCGAAGCUGCGGCAGCGACACUAUGUGUUGUUGGGUAGGGGAGCGUUCUGUAAGCCUGCGAAGGUGUGCUGUGAGGCAUGCUGGAGGUAUCAGAAGUGCGAAUGCUGACAUAAGUAACGAUAAAGCGGGUGAAAAGCCCGCUCGCCGGAAGACCAAGGGUUCCUGUCCAACGUUAAUCGGGGCAGGGUGAGUCGACCCCUAAGGCGAGGCCGAAAGGCGUAGUCGAUGGGAAACAGGUUAAUAUUCCUGUACUUGGUGUUACUGCGAAGGGGGGACGGAGAAGGCUAUGUUGGCCGGGCGACGGUUGUCCCGGUUUAAGCGUGUAGGCUGGUUUUCCAGGCAAAUCCGGAAAAUCAAGGCUGAGGCGUGAUGACGAGGCACUACGGUGCUGAAGCAACAAAUGCCCUGCUUCCAGGAAAAGCCUCUAAGCACCAGGUAACAUCAAAUCGUACCCCAAACCGACACAGGUGGUCAGGUAGAGAAUACCAAGGCGCUUGAGAGAACUCGGGUGAAGGAACUAGGCAAAAUGGUGCCGUAACUUCGGGAGAAGGCACGCUGAUAUGUAGGUGAAGUCCCUCGCGGAUGGAGCUGAAAUCAGUCGAAGAUACCAGCUGGCUGCAACUGUUUAUUAAAAACACAGCACUGUGCAAACACGAAAGUGGACGUAUACGGUGUGACGCCUGCCCGGUGCCGGAAGGUUAAUUGAUGGGGUCAGCGCAAGCGAAGCUCUUGAUCGAAGCCCCGGUAAACGGCGGCCGUAACUAUAACGGUCCUAAGGUAGCGAAAUUCCUUGUCGGGUAAGUUCCGACCUGCACGAAUGGCGUAAUGAUGGCCAGGCUGUCUCCACCCGAGACUCAGUGAAAUUGAACUCGCUGUGAAGAUGCAGUGUACCCGCGGCAAGACGGAAAGACCCCGUGAACCUUUACUAUAGCUUGACACUGAACAUUGAGCCUUGAUGUGUAGGAUAGGUGGGAGGCUUUGAAGUGUGG